rnacentral:rRNA from 1 species
GACGAACCGAGCGAACGUUAUUCGGAAUCACUGGGCUUACAGGGUGCGUAGGCGGCUCAACAAGUCAGGUGUGAAAGCCCCCGGCUCAACCGGGGAACUGCGCUUGAAACUGUUAGGCUCGAGUCAGCUAGAGGUACACGGAACUUCCAGUGGAGCGGUGAAAUGUGUUGAUAUUGGAAGGAACACCGGAGGCGAAAGCGGUGUACUGGGGCUGGUCUGACGCUGAGGCACGAAAGCCAGGGGAGCGAACGGG